UGCAAGUCGAGCGGACAGAUGGGAGCUUGCUCCCUGAUGUUAGCGGCGGACGGGUGAGUAACACGUGGGUAACCUGCCUGUAAGACUGGGAUAACUCCGGGAAACCGGGGCUAAUACCGGAUGGUUGUUUGAACCGCAUGGUUCAGACAUAAAAGGUGGCUUCGGCUACCACUUACAGAUGGACCCGCGGCGCAUUAGCUAGUUGGUGAGGUAACGGCUCACCAAGGCGACGAUGCGUAGCCGACCUGAGAGGGUGAUCGGCCACACUGGGACUGAGACACGGCCCAGACUCCUACGGGAGGCAGCAGUAGGGAAUCUUCCGCAAUGGACGAAAGUCUGACGGAGCAACGCCGCGUGAGUGAUGAAGGUUUUCGGAUCGUAAAGCUCUGUUGUUAGGGAAGAACAAGUGCCGUUCAAAUAGGGGCGGCACCUUGACGGUACCUAACCAGAAAGCCACGGGCUAACUACGUGCCAGCAGCCGCGGUUAUACGUAGGUGGCAAGCGUUGUCCGGAAAUAUUUGGGGCGUAAAGGGCUCCGCAGGCGGGUUCUUAUA
rnacentral:rRNA from 2 species